GGAGGAAAGUGCCCUGACGCGGCUUUGUUCGAGAAGCGCACGGAAAGCCGGGGAUCUUGUGUAAAAUCUGUCUUUUCCCCAUUUCCCUAUUUGGCAAUGCAGUUUUCCCAGGUAUUCUGCCUUUCCACCCUCCCCCACUGCCUCUCCCCUUCCCUAGCACAGGUAACCACACAUUUUGAUGGAGUUUAAUCUCCUUCCUUCCUUCCUUUGCAAACCCACCUCCUCCCUUGCCCCAGGCUCUCUGUCAACUCAAACGCAUCGCAAAUCAACCUGACAGUGGAGAUCUCCCCUUGAGCAACAGCGCUGGGAGUUCGCUGCUGCUGAUCCUCAGAUAGGGAGGGUGGGGUGCAUUUUCCACAUAAAACCCAGUCGCAGCUAAAAUGGAAGUAAAUUUCCAUUCCCCAUCCCCUUUGUUUCCAGUUUGGGCUGUCAGCUAAGUGGAUCCACAACGCCGGGAAGAUGCACAGGAUGGGGGAUGCAGCCGGAGCCGAGCUGCAGGGACAGUCCUGGCGCUGUUUGUCACUUUCCCAGGCAUUUUCCUGGGAUGUUGAGCUGAGGAACUGGGGCUACUCCAAACAGCUGAACUCAAUGCACUGACCAACUGUUACCUGUGAUGCCCAAAUGGAACCUGAGAGCGAUUCCACUGCAAGACAGUGGAAAAAAUGUCCAAGAGAACAAGAUACAAAGUCGUGUAAUUUUAUUUUUUACUCUUUUCUCCAUGUUAGAAGCAUGAGGAAGUCACAAACGUGCUGUUGAGUCCUGCAAGAAACACAAACCAGGGCAGAUCUCUUGUUCUGUAGGACCUACAUCAGCAGCUGCACUGACCUGGGACAACGGGCUCGUCCUCUGUUCAAGAAAAAAAACCCACAUCUCCCUAAAUCUUAUAGGCUGGUGGGAGGAGGCAGCUCCUGAAUUCUCAUGAGAACAGAGCACCAGGAAAAUGUGAACGUCGACUUCCUGUCCUUAGAAGCCUGGCUGUUACCCUUCAGCUGGCUUGGAGUUCCUCUGAGCAAGCUUUCCCAUUCCAAAGACCAAGUCAAAGGAAUCCAGGAAGAUCUGUUCUUUCAAGGAAAGACAUGUCACAGGUCGGAUGUGAGGAACGUUCUGGAAACACGUUCAGCAGGAGCCCUGGAGAAAGCACAGGGGUUAUUUUCUUUCUCAGAGCUGUGAUCAGCACAACUCACAACACAUCCUUUCAAUGUCUUAGAAAGGAGUUAUUAGCCUCAAGAUUCUGGAGUGGCAGCUGCUGGAAGAGCACCCACCACCACCAGAGUCUUUGCUAAACUGCCUGGACUGUGUGGGCUGAGCUGGCAGCCCAGAGCAGAGGUGUCUGAGCCAGCACAGGGACAUUUGUGCUCCUUGUCCCUGCCUGGCCUCUCCUCCAGCACAUUUCGCCUCCAGGAAGUGGCACAGGGAAAGCUAUUCCCACCAGAAUUACAUGCAUUUAAACUCAUUUUUGGAAAUUGUCUGGGCACAGCCUCCCGUAGAAAUGA